rnacentral:lncRNA from 1 species
UUUCUCUUUUUUGUACUUACUACUAAACUAUGUGUGUUGAACAAAGCAUGUCGCCUUAUUUUAGAUAAAUGAUGAUGUAGUUAUGGACGCCUUCUCAAUGCUACAUGUGUAGUUCCCAAAUUGGACAAUAUCUUUCUGCAAAGAUCUUCAAGUAUGGCAUUUGAUUCAUUCUCUCACAUCUGCUAUUUAAAGUUCCUCUCUUGGUUUCUAAUCAAUCUGUGUAGAUACAACUUUCUUAGGUUUUUGUGCAACAACAGAAUUAACAGUUGGUUGCUCUGUUUACCUUCGAUGUCGGUAUCAUCUAUAAAUGUCACUCCCCUAGCUAUUAGCAUUGUUUGUUACAACAACCUACAUGGCCUGAAUUUGAUGUUGUGGUUGCUUGUAGUAGCUUGCCCAUGAUUCAUGGUCUCAUUGCCUUCAUUUGUUUGUGUUUUUUGUGCUGUCAUGCAGAUCAGGAGUUGCAAGUAUGUGUGUGCUAUUCAAUCUAUUUACUGAGACAAGAGGCGUUUAUUUAUGUCCAGAUUUCUGUUGGAGAUUAUGGUACAUAGAAGAUCUCAUAUUAGAGAAGAGAAAAUUCAUUAUAUCUGUCGAUCUGGACAGUAUGUAUAUGUUUCUGGCACCUUUAUCCUUUAGAGCAAAGCCCAGUUCUAUGUUGAUCUUUCUUGAAUCUUUUGUUUUGUUGAUUCGAAUUAUUUAAGUGUGAAUUUUUUUGUACAAUUCCUUGAUUAUAUGCCAGUGUCGAGGCAUCUUUUGACUAUUUGAAUUAAUUUCCCAUUGUAUAUUUGACGUAUAUCUUGGAAGGAUGUGGAAGAACUUAUUAUUAUGAUGUUGUACUAAACUUUGAAGCUUUUGGUGUAUCAUGGUACAUAUUAUAGGAAAUGCAUCAAUGACAUGUAAUGAACUUUCAUGGUUUGGACCUUGGCAUCCUGUGUAACAUAU